rnacentral:lncRNA from 10 species
ACUGCGCGCGCUCCAGCGCCCCAGAAGGCAGGGGGCAGCCCGGGGACCGGGGUCCCGGAGCCCCGUGGGAGGCGGGCAACACCUGUCGGGACCCGAGGGCGUGUCUGAGAUUGUGGCCUGAGGUGCUGCGCCUUCCGAUCCGGGGCAGCGGGCGUCCUGUAGCUGCGCCUUCCGAAUCCAGCCCAGAUUCUCCUACCAGCUGCUUGGGUCACGUCGGUGGAACUCCUAAAGGGAUGCCUUCAAAAUGUGUGAAUAAGCUUCAAUCAGACUGCCCUUCCCAAAGAAAAUAACUAUAAAUGCUGGAAAAACUACAAAACAGCCACCUGAAGGCACUGGCGAGAGACAAAAGCAAGCAAAUUCUGGAGAAGAGUCAACACUUGGAAGAAGGGAGCUGCACUGGGUACAUGGGGAAGGAACAGUGUCUCUGCAUGAGAAUGGCCAAAGAACAAGAUACAUUUCCCCGUGGAGAGCAAUCCUAGAGAGAGGGAAGCAUGGGUCAGAAUAAGGUGUACUGGCCCCAGGUAGAGACAGGGUUUCACCAUGUUGGCCCGGCUGACCUCGAACUCCUGACCUCAGGUGAUCUGCCCACCUUGGCUUCUCAAAGUGCUGGUAUUACAAAUGAGCCCUUCCUUGCUUUUGGUAGACCUGCAAGAACAAACCCAUUGAGAUGGCUACAGAAUGAGAAGGGAAGCUUUUUCAUGGUGUAAGAAGUAAGAAAAAUUGAUUAGGAAGAACUCUGUGGGUAAGGAGAAAGAAAACCUACUAGGAGACCAUUAUUGCAGUGAAG